AUUGCCAGGGACCCAGAACUGAUAAUCAGGACUUUUAGGCUUGGAUUUUGAUUGACAUGGCUAAUCAAAAGCCCAGUCCUACCUUCAGAAAAGAGCUUCACAGUUUGUACCCAACAGUCGUUACCAAGGACCCAGAACUGAUAGUCAGGACUUUAAGGCUGGGUGAAUAAAAAAUUGAUGGUUGGAAAAUUAAGGAGGAGUUCUCUUGUUUGUGUUUUGACAUUUUGGAGGUGUUCACAGAUGAAGACAAGCGGGGAGUUGAACAAGCGACCUUUGGAUGACAGCACUUCAUGUGAGAAACUUCCUACAGUCCUCUGCUCUACCAACUGAGCUAUCGAGGUGCUGUCUACUCACAAGUGCAGAAAACAUAGUGGCUGAGACGACACACUUUGCCCACACAACUAUUUGAUCCACAUGGUCAAUGAAAAGCCAAGCCCUACCUGCAGAACAAAGCUUCGCAGUUUGUACCCAACAGUCAUUGCCAGGGACCCAGAACUGAUAAUCAGGACUUUUAGGCUUGGCUUUUUAUUGACAUGGCUAAUCAAAAGCCCAGUCCUACCUUCAGAACAGAGCUUCACAGUUUGUACCCGACAGUCAUUGCCAAGGACCCAGAACUGAUAGUCAGGACUUUACAUUGGGUGAAUAAAAAAUUGAUGGUUGGAAAAUUAAGGAGGAGUUCUCUUGUUUGUGUUUUGACAUUUUGGAGGUGUUCACAGAUGAAGACAAGCAGGGAGUUGAACCAGCGACCUUUGGAUGACAGCACUUCAUGUGAGGAACUUCCUACAGUCCUCUGCUCUACCAACUGAGCUAUCGAGGUGCUGUCUACUCACAAGUGCAGAAAACAUAGUGGCUGAGACGACAUACUUUGCCCACACAACUAUUUGAUCCACAUGGUCAAUGAAAAGCCCAGCCCUACCUGCAGAACAAAGCUUCGCAGUUUGUACCCAACAGUCAUUGCCAGGGACCCAGAACUGAUAAUCAGGACUUUUAGGCUUGGCUUUUGAUUGACAUGGCUAAUCAAAAGCCCAGUCCUACCUUCAGAACAGAGCUUCACAGUUUGUACCCGACAGUCAUUGCCAAGGACCCAGAACUGAUAGUCAGGACUUUACAUUGGGUGAAUAAAAAAUUGAUGGUUGGAAAAUUAAGGAGGAGUUCUCUUGUUUGUGUUUUGACAUUUUGGAGGUGUUCACAGAUGAAGACAAGCGGGGAGUUGAACCAAGCGACCUUUGGAUCACAGCACUUCAUGUGAGAAACUUCCUACAGCCCUCUGCUCUACCAACUGAGCUAUCGAGGUGCUCUCUACUAACAAGUGCAGAAAACAUAGUGGCUGAGACGACACACUUUGCCCACACAACUAUUUGAUCCACAUGGUCAAUGAAAAGCCCAGCCCUACCUGACGAACAAAGGUUCGCAGUUUGUACCCAACAGUCAUUGCCAGGGACCCAGAACUGAUAAUCAGGACUUUUAAACUUGGCUUUUUAAUGACAUGGCUAAUCAAAAGCCCAGUCCUACCUUCAGAACAGAGCUCCACAGUUUGUACCCGACAGUCAUUGCCAAGGACCCAGAACUGAUAGUCAGGACUUUAAGGCUGGGUGAAUAAAAAAUUGAUGGUUGGAAAAUUAAGGAGGAGUUCUCUUGUUUGUGUUUUGACAUUUUGGAGGUGUUCACAGAUGAAAACAAGGACAAGCUGGGAGUUGAACCAGCGACCUUUGGAUCACAGCACUUCAUGUGAGGAACUUCCUACAGUCCUCUGCUCUACCAACUGAGCUAUCGAGGUGCUCUCCACUCACAAGUGCAGAAAACAUAGUGGCUGAGACGACACACUUUGCCCACACAACUAUUUGAUCCACAUGGUCAAUGAAAAGCCCAGCCCUACCUGCAGAACAAAGCUUCGCAGUUUGUACCCAACAGUCAUUGCCAGGGACCCAGAACUGAUAAUCAGGACUUUUAGGCUUGGAUUUUGAUUGACAUGGCUAAUCAAAAGCCCAGUCCUACCUUCAGAAAAGAGCUUCACAGUUUGUACCCAACAGUCAUUACCAAGGACCCAGAACUGAUAGUCAGGACUUUAAGGCUGGGUGAAUAAAAAAUUGAUGGUUGGAAAAUUAAGGAGGAGUUCUCUUGUUUGUGUUUUGACAUUUUGGAGGUGUUCACAGAUGAAGACAAGCGGGGAGUUGAACAAGCGACCUUUGGAUCACAGCACUUCAUGUGAGGAACUUCCUAAAGUCCUCUGCUCUACCAACUGAGCUAUCGAGGUGCUCUCCACUCACAAGUGCAGAAAACAUAGUGGCUGAGACGACACACUUUGCCCACACAACUAUUUGAUCCACAUGGUCAAUGAAAAGCCCAGCCCUACCUGCAGAACAAAGCUUCGCAGUUUGUACCCAACAGUCAUUACCAGGGACCCAGAACUGAUAAUCAGGACUUUUAGGCUUUGCUUUUGAUUGACAUGGCCAAUCAAAAGCCCAGUCCUACCUUCAGAACAGAGCUUCACAGUUUGUACCCGACAGUCAUUGCCAAGGACCCAGAACUGAUAGUCAGGACUUUAAGGCUGGGUGAAUAAAAAAUUGAUGGUUGGAAAAUUAAGGAGGAGUUCUCUUGUUUGUGUUUUGACAUUUUGGAGGUGUUCACAGAUGAAGACAUGGACAAGGGGGGAGUUGAACCAGCGACCUUUGGAUCACAGCACUUCCUACAGUCCUCUGCUCUACCAACUGAGCUAUCGAGGUGCUCUCUACUCACAAGUGCAGAAAACAUAGUGGCUGAGACGACACACUUUGCCCACACAACUAUUUGAUCCACAUGGUCAAUGAAAAGCCCAGCCCUACCUGCAGAACAAAGCUUCGCAGUUUGUACCCAACAGUCAUUACCAGGGACCCAGAACUGAUAAUCAGGACUUUUAGGCUUGGCUUUUCAUUGACAUGGCCAAUCAAAAGCCCAGUCCUACCUUCAGAACAGAGCUUCACAGUUUGUACCCAACAGUCAUUGCCAAGGACCCAGAACUGAUAGUCAGGACUUUAAGGCUGGGUGAAUAAAAAAUUGAUGGUUGGAAAAUUAAGGAGGAGUUCUUUUGUUUGUGUUUUGACAUUUUGGAGGUGUUCACAGAUGAAGACAAGCGGGGAGUUGAACCAGCGACCUUUGGAUCACAGCACUUCAUGUGAGGAACUUCCUACAGUCCUCUGCUCUACCAACUGAGCUAUCGAGGUGCUCUCUACUCACAAGUGCAGAAAACAUAGUGGCUGAGACGACACACUUUGCCCACACAACUAUUUGAUCCACAUGGUCAAUGAAAAGCCCAGCCCUACCUGCAGAACAAAGCUUCGCAGUUUGUACCCAACAGUCAUUACCAGGGACCCAGAACUGAUAAUCAGGACUUUAAGGCUUGGCUUUUCAUUGACAUGGCCAAUCAAAAGCCCAGUCCUACCUUCAGAACAGAGCUUCACAGUUUGUACCCGACAGUCAUUGCCAAGGACCCAGAACUGAUAGUCAGGACUUUAAGGCUGGGUGAAUAAAAAAUUGAUGGUUGGAAAAUUAAGGAGGAGUUCUCUUGUUUGUGUUUUGACAUUUUGGAGGUGUUCACAGAUGAAGACAAGGACAAGCUGGGAGUUGAACCAGCGACCUUUGGAUCACAGCACUUCAUGUGAGGAACUUCCUACAGUCCUCUGCUCUACCAACUGAGCUAUCGAGAUGCUCUCUGCUCACAAGUGCAGAAAACAUAGUGGCUGAGACGACACACUUUGCCCACACAACUAUUUGAUCCACAUGGUCAAUGAAAAGCCUAGCCCUACCUGCAGAACAAAGCUUCGCAGUUUGUACCCAACAGUCACUGCCAGGGACCCAGAACUGAUAAUCAGGACUUUUAGGCUUGGAUUUUGAUUGACAUGGCUAAUCAAAAGCCCAGUCCUACCUUCAGGACAGAGCUUCACAGUUUGUACCCAACAGUCAUUGCCAAGGACCCAGAACUGAUAGUCAGGACUUUAGGGCUGGGUGAAUAAAAAAUUGAUGGUUGGAAAAUUAAGGAGGAGUUCUCUUGUUUGUGUUUUGACAUUUUGGAGGUGUUCACAGAUGAAGACAAGCGGGGAGUUGAACCAGCGACCUUUGGAUCACAGCACUUCCUACAGUCCUCUGCUCUACCAACUGAGCUAUCGAGGUGCUCUCUACUCACAAGUGCAGAAAACAUAGUGGCUGAGACGACACACUUUGCCCACACAACUAUUUGAUCCACAUGGUCAAUGAAAAGCCCAGCCCUACCUGCAGAACAAAGCUUCGCAGUUUGUACCCAACAGUCAUUGCCAGGGACCCAGAACUGAUAAUCAGGACUUUUAGGCUUGGCUUUUGAUUGACAUGGCCAAUCAAAAGCCCAGUCCUACCUUCAGAACAGAGCUUCACAGUUUGUACCCGACAGUCAUUGCCAAGGACCCAGAACUGAUAGUCAGGACUUUAAGGCUGGGUGAAUAAAAAAUUGAUGGUUGGAAAAUAAAAGGAGUUCUCUUGUUUGUGUUUUGACAUUUUGGAGGUGUUCACAGAUGAAGACAAGGACAAAGGGGAGUUGAACCAGCGACCUUUGGAUCACAGCACUUCAUGUGAGAACUUCCUACAGCCCUCUGCUCUACCAACUGAGCUAUCGAGGUGCUCUCUACUCACAAGUGCAGAAAACAUAGUGACUGAGACGACACACUUUGCCCACACAACUAUUUGAUCCACAUGGUCAAUGAAAAGCCCAGCCCUACCUGCAGAACAAAGCUUCGCAGUUUGUACCCAACAGUCAUUGCCAGGGACCCAGAACUGAUAAUCAGGACUUUUAGGCUGGGCUUUUCAUUGACAUGGCCAAACAAAAGCCCAGUCCUACCUUCAGAACAGAGCUUCACAGUUUGUACCCAACAGUCAUUGCCAAGAACCCAGAACUGAUAGUCAGGACUUUAAGGCUGGGUGAAUAAAAAAUUGAUGGUUGGAAAACUAAGGAGGAGUUCUCUUGUUUGUGUUUUGACAUUUUGGAGGUGUUCACAGAUGAAGACAAGGACAAGCGGGGAGUUGAACCAGCGACCUUUGGAUCACAGCACUUCAUGUGAGGAACUUCCUACAGUCCUCUGCUCUACCAACUGAGCUAUCGAGGUGCCCUCUACUCACAAGUGCAGAAAACAUAGUGGCUGAGACGACACACUUUGCCCACACAACAAUUUGAUCCACAUGGUCAAUGAAAAGCCCAGCCCUACCUGCAGAACAAAGCUUCGCAGUUUGUACCCAACAGUCAUUGCCAGGGACCCAGAACUGAUAAUCAGGACUUUUAGGCUGGGCUUUUCAUUGACAUGGCCAAUCAAAAGCCCAGUCCUACCUUCAGAACAGAGCUUCACAGUUUGUACCCAACAGUCAUUGCCAAGAACCCAGAACUGAUAGUCAGGACUUUAAGGCUGGGUGAAUAAAAAAUUGAUGGUUGGAAAACUAAGGAGGAGUUCUCUUGUUUGUGUUUUGACAUUUUGGAGGUGCUCACAGAUGAACACAAGGACAAGCGGGGAGUUGAACCAGCGACCUUUGCAUCACAGCACUUCAUGGGAGGAACUUCCUACAGUUCUCUGCUCUUACAACUGAGCUAUCGAGGUGCUCUCUACUCACAAGUGCAGAAAACAUAGUGGCUGAGACGACACACUUUGCCCACACAACUAUUUGAUCCACAUGGUCAAUGAGAAGCCCAGCCCUACCUGCAGAACAAAGCUUCGCAGUUUGUACCCAACAUUCAUUGCCAGGGACCCAGAACUGAUAAUCAGGACUUUUAGGCUGGGCUUUUCAUUGACAUGGCCAAUCAAAAGCCCAGUCCUACCUUCAGAACAGAGCUUCACAGUUUGUACCCAACAGUCAUUGCCAAGGACCCAGAACUGAUAGUCAGGACUUUAAGGCUGGGUGAAUAAAAAAUUGAUGGUUGGAAAACUAAAAAGGAGUUCUAUUGUUUGUGUUUUGAGAUUUUGGAGGUGCUCACAGAUGAAGACAAGGACAAGCGGGGAGUUGAACCAGCGACCUUUGCAUCACAGCACUUCAUGUGAGGAACUUCCUAUCGAGGUGCUCUCUACUCAGAAGUGCAGAAAACAUAGUGGCUGAGACGACACACUUUGCCCACACAACUAUUUGAUCCACAUGGUCAAUGAAAAGCCCAGCCCUACCUGCAGAACAAAGCUUCGCAGUUUGUACCCAACAGUCAUUGCCAGGGACCCAGAACUGAUAAUCAGGACUUUUAGGCUGGGCUUUUCAUUGACAUGGCCAAUCAAAAGCCCAGUCCUACCUUCAGAACAGAGCUUCACAGUUUGUACCCAACAGUCAUUGCCAAGGACCCAGAACUGAUAGUCAGGACUUUAAGGCUGGGUGAAUAAAAAAUUGAUGGUUGGAAAACUAAGGAGGAGUUCUCUUGUUUGUGUUUUGACAUUUCAGAGGUGUUAACAGAUGAAGACAAGGACAAGCGAGAAGUUGAACCAGCGACCUUUGCAUCACAGCACUUCAUGUGAGGAACUUCCUACAGUCCUCUGCUCUACCAACUGAGCUAUCGAGGUGCUCUCUACUCACAAGUGCAGAAAACAUAGUGGCUGAGACGACACACUUUGCCCACACAACUAUUUGAUCCACAUGGUCAAUGAAAAGCCCAGCCCUACCUGCAGAACAAAGCUUCGCAGUUUGUACCCAACAGUCAUUGCCAGGGACCCAGAACUGAUAAUCAGGACUUUUAGGCUGGGCUUUUCAUUGACAUGGCCAAUCAAAAGCCCAGUCCUACCUUCAGAACAGAGCUUCACAGUUUGUACCCAACAGUCAUUGCCAAGGACCCAGAACUGAUAGUCAGGACUUUAAGGCUGGGUGAAUAAAAAAUUGAUGGUUGGAAAACUAAGGAGGAGUUCUCUUGUUUGUGUUUUGACAUUUUGGAGGUGUUCACAGAUGAAGACAAGGACAAGCGGGGAGUUGAACCAGCGACCUUUGCAUCACAGCACUUCAUGUGAGGAACUUCCUACAGUCCUCUGCUCUACCAACUGAGCUAUCGAGGUGCUCUCUACUCACAAGUGCAGAAAACAUAGUGGCUGAGACGACACACUUUGCCCACACAACUAUUUGAUCCACAUGGUCAAUGAAAAGCCCAGCCCUACCUGCAGAACAAAGCUUCGCAGUUUGUACCCAACAGUCAUUGCCAGGGACCCAGAACUGAUAAUCAGGACUUUUAGGCUGGGCUUUUCAUUGACAUGGCCAAUCAAAAGCCCAGUCCUACCUUCAGAACAGAGCUUCACAGUUUGUACCCAACAGUCAUUGCCAAGGACCCAGAACUGAUAGUCAGGACUUUAAGGCUGGGUGAAUAAAAAAUUGAUGGUUGGAAAACUAAGGAGGAGUUCUCUUGUUUGUGUUUUGACAUUUUGGAGGUGUUCACAGAUGAAGACAAGGACAAGCGGGGAGUUGAACCAGCGACCUUUGCAUGACAGACCUUCAUGUGAGGAACUUGCUACCGUCCUCUGCUCUACCAACUGAGCUAUUGAGGUGCUCUCUACUCACAAGUGCAGAAAACAUAGUGGCUGAGACGACACACUCUGCCCACACAACUAUUUGAUCCACAUGGUCAAUGAAAAGCCCAGCCCUACCUGCAGAACAAAGCUUCACAGUUUGUACCCAACAGUCAUUGCCAAGAACCCAGAACUGAUAGUCAGGACUUUAAGGCUGGGUGAAUAAAAAAUUGAUGGUUGGAAAACUAAGGAGGAGUUCUCUUGUUUGUGUUUUGACAUUUUGGAGGUGCUCACAGAUGAACACAAGGACAAGCGGGGAGUUGAACCAGCGACCUUUGCAUCACAGCACUUCAUGGGAGGAACUUCCUACAGUUCUCUGCUCUUACAACUGAGCUAUCGAGGUGCUCUCUACUCACAAGUGCAGAAAACAUAGUGGCUGAGACGACACACUUUGCCCACACAACUAUUUGAUCCACAUGGUCAAUGAGAAGCCCAGCCCUACCUGCAGAACAAAGCUUCGCAGUUUGUACCCAACAUUCAUUGCCAGGGACCCAGAACUGAUAAUCAGGACUUUUAGGCUGGGCUUUUCAUUGACAUGGCCAAUCAAAAGCCCAGUCCUACCUUCAGAACAGAGCUUCACAGUUUGUACCCAACAGUCAUUGCCAAGGACCCAGAACUGAUAGUCAGGACUUUAAGGCUGGGUGAAUAAAAAAUUGAUGGUUGGAAAACUAAAAAGGAGUUCUAUUGUUUGUGUUUUGAGAUUUUGGAGGUGCUCACAGAUGAAGACAAGGACAAGCGGGGAGUUGAACCAGCGACCUUUGCAUCACAGCACUUCAUGUGAGGAACUUCCUAUCGAGGUGCUCUCUACUCAGAAGUGCAGAAAACAUAGUGGCUGAGACGACACACUUUGCCCACACAACUAUUUGAUCCACAUGGUCAAUGAAAAGCCCAGCCCUACCUGCAGAACAGAGCUUCGCAGUUUGUACCCAACAGUCAUUGCCAGGGACCCAGAACUGAUAAUCAGGACUUUUAGGCUGGGCUUUUCAUUGACAUGGCCAAUCAAAAGCCCAGUCCUACCUUCAGAACAGAGCUUCACAGUUUGUACCCAACAGUCAUUGCCAAGGACCCAGAACUGAUAGUCAGGACUUUAAGGCUGGGUGAAUAAAAAAUUGAUGGUUGGAAAACUAAGGAGGAGUUCUCUUGUUUGUGUUUUGACAUUUCAGAGGUGUUAACAGAUGAAGACAAGGACAAGCGAGAAGUUGAACCAGCGACCUUUGCAUCACAGCACUUCAUGUGAGGAACUUCCUACAGUCCUCUGCUCUACCAACUGAGCUAUCGAGGUGCUCUCUACUCACAAGUGCAGAAAACAUAUUGGCUGAGACGACACACUUUGCCCACACAACUAUUUGAUCCACAUGGUCAAUGAAAAGCCCAGCCCUACCUGCAGAACAAAGCUUCGCAGUUUGUACCCAACAGUCAUUGCCAGGGACCCAGAACUGAUAAUCAGGACUUUUAGGCUGGGCUUUUCAUUGACAUGGCCAAUCAAAAGCCCAGUCCUACCUUCAGAACAGAGCUUCACAGUUUGUACCCAACAGUCAUUGCCAAGGACCCAGAACUGAUAGUCAGGACUUUAAGGCUGGGUGAAUAAAAAAUUGAUGGUUGGAAAACUAAGGAGGAGUUCUCUUGUUUGUGUUUUGACAUUUCGGAGGUGUUCACAGAUGAAGACAAGGACAAGCGGGGAGUUGAACCAGCGACCUUUGCAUCACAGCACUUCAUGUGAGGAACUUCCUACAGUCCUCUGCUCUACCAACUGAGCUAUCGAGGUGCUCUCUACUCACAAGUGCAGAAAACAUAGUGGCUGAGACGACACACUCUGCCCACACAACUAUUUGAUCCACAUGGUCAAUGAAAAGCCCAGCCCUACCUGCAGAACAAAGCUUCGCAGUUUGUACCCAACAGUCAUUGCCAGGGACCCAGAACUGAUAAUCAGGACUUUUAGGCUGGGCUUUUCAUUGACAUGGCCAAUCAAAAGCCCAGUCCUACCUUCAGAACAGAGCUUCACAGUUUGUACCCAACAGUCAUUGCCAAGGACCCAGAACUGAUAGUCAGGACUUUAAGGCUGGGUGAAUAAAAAAUUGAUGGUUGGAAAACUAAGGAGGAGUUCUCUUGUUUGUGUUUUGACAUUUUGGAGGUUUUCACAGAUGAAGACAAGGACAAGCGGGGAGUUGAACCAGCGACCUUUGCAUGACAGACCUUCAUGUGAGGAACUUGCUACCGUCCUCUGCUCUACCAACUGAGCUAUUGAGGUGCUCUCUACUCACAAUUGCAGAAAACAUAGUGGCUGAGACGACACACUUUGCCCACACAACAAUUUGAUCCACAUGGCCAAUCAAAAGCCCAGUCCUACCUUCAGAACAGAGCUUCACAGUUUGUACCCAACAGUCAUUGCCAAGGACCCAGAACUGAUAAUCAGGACUUUUAGGCUGGGUGAAUAAAAAAUUGAUGGUUGGAUAAUUGAACGUUUCAAUCCCAAACUUUUCUUUUCCACUAAAUUCAACACCUGGCUCUGUACUUUCAUCAGCCAUACAUUUGCCCUUCUUUGUGCGCUGGAGGUCAUGUCUUUAGUCUUGGGAGCCUGAGUCGGUAACAGUUAAAGCUGACAGGGUUAUUUUUUAAGAGAGUCUGUUUGAGAUGCAAGUCACUGGUAAGUGUAUUAGCCACAAUAAAUGCUGGUCAUUGCACCCCCUUUAAUAAGACACUGCCAGGAGAGACAGCAGUUAAUUUGGCUAACGGUUCACUCUGGACAGGGUCAGAACUAAUAUAAGCAUUUCUCUUGAUUUAAAUGUACACUUUGGGGUGAUUUUAUUUUUACAUCGAAAAAAAAGACAUUUGUUUUUACACUACUUGAAGACACAACACGCACACAUGCUCUGCCACCUACAACCUGAUUGGCUUUUGGAUUAAUAUCUAUAUAUUACAGUGCUCAGAUUACAGAGCACAUACCAAUAGACUUGUCAUGUUUUCAGGUUUACUGAAAACAACACACUUAAUGGAGCUAAGAACACUUCUGGUGGUGUUCAGAGUGAUAGACAAAGUUUUACCAAAACAGCUGCAAGGGUUAUUUGAAAUUAGUUCAGAGAGUGAAAACCACAGGAGACCAUAUGAUUUUAAACACCAGUUUGCUCGGACGACGCUAAAGCAGAUGUGUAUUUCUGUAGCAGGUAUUAAGUUAUGAAAUUCGCAAAGUAAUGAGUUGAAGAGUUGUACAACAAUGUUUCAGUUUAAGAAAAAGUUUAAAGGAGGGAAAAUCAAAAAUUAUGAACUGGAUGAAGUGGAUGACUGAUGAUGUGUCAGUUUGUUUUUUUGUUAUUGAUUUUUUUUUUUUUCUUUUGUUUGUUUGAUUGUGGUAUUUUUUGGACCUUAAUUAUAUAAUAUUUUGAUCAAUUGCUGGCUGGUUACCAUAGAUAAAGGUGUUGUAGUGAAGGGGCAGUCGUAUAUAAGACUUGUCUUCUGUCUGCUCCUUUUCAUUUCACAUGAUUACACAUGAAAAAAAAAGGAUGAGUGCAAUGUAUCGUAUUAUGUAUAAUGAAUGAAAUUAAAUAAAUGAAUAAAUAAAAUAAAAAAAUAAAAAAUAUAUAUCCUGUACACAUGUAUAUAUAGUAAAUAAGACUCAUGUACAUAUCUUGUUUUAACUCUAUGCUUCUUUAUCCUUUAUUUCCCCUUUUUGUAUCUGUAUUUAUGCUGCUGUAAUUCUAUAUUUUGAAUUUUGAUGUUUUAAUCUAAAUUUUGCAUGUGAAGCAAUGCCGCAGCCCAAAAAGCUUAUCAGCGCACUGCCUGCGUAUAAGUAAAUAUUUGUGCAGCAUCUGCAAAUUGUCCAAAAACAAAUGGACUUUGUGGUGGCACAGUGCUAAGCCACGGAACGUGUCAGCAACAAAACAACAACAGACCUCCUUCUUUAUCACUCAUCCCCACAUUGAAGUGACUGACCUGCGUUUGAUUCAAUAAAACAUACAGGACGUGUCAGCACAGCCGUGUGACACAUGUAAAUGUGUUCGAUCAAGACGCCAAUUUAGAGCUUCCAGCUGAGAGGAGUCUUUGCUGUGAAGCACUAAAAUGUCACAAAGCUGCAUUUAUUCAUGUGACCACCACACACACACACACACACACACACACACACACACACACACACAUGCAAACACACACACACAUACAUUCCUGUCCAACACCAUGAGGACAAAAGAUGCUGAACUCCCCCGAGGAGAGUGACCUGGAGGACAGGCUCACGCACACCAGCUGGACUUUACUCCAAGACUUCACACACACACACACAGAGAGAGAGAGAGAGAGAGAGAGAGAGAGAGAGAGAGACUCCUCAUUGUCAUCAGAAAAAAGGAAGUGUCCAAGACUAUGACAUGUAAUUUCUGAUAUAACAUUUAUGUUAAAAUGGGUUGUUUUAAACAUCAAUUAAUCCAGAAAUCUCCACUCCAAUCUCUACUUUAUAGC